rnacentral:rRNA from 1 species
UAUUGGUCAAUGGCCGAGAGGCUGAACCAGCCAUGCCGCGUGCGGGAGGACGGCCCUAUGGGUUGUAAACCGCUUUUGUUGGGGAGCAAUAAGGAGCACGUGUGCUUCGAUGAGAGUACCCAGCGAAUAAGCAUCGGCUAACUCCGUGCCAGCAGCCGCGGUAAUACGGAGGAUGCGAACGUUAUCCGGAUUUAUUGGGUUUAAAGGGUGCGUAGGCGGAGCUUUAAGCGUGAGGUGAAAUGCCCGGGCUCAACCUGGGAACUGCCUCGCGAACUGGAGUUCUGGAAUGCCCCUGCCGUGGGAGGAAUGUGUGGUGUAGCGGUGAAAUGCAUAGAGAUCACACAGAACACCGAUUGCGAAGGCAUCUCACGAAGGGGUGAUUGACGCUGAGGCACGAAAGCGUGGGGAUCAAACA